rnacentral:misc_RNA from 1 species
GAUGAAGAACGCAGCGAAAUGCGAUAAGUAAUGUGAAUUGCAGAAUUCAGUGAAUCAUCGAAUCUUUGAACGCACAUUGCGCCCGCCAGUAUUCUGGCGGGCAUGCCUGUUCGAGCGCCAUUUCAACCAUCAAGCCCCCGGCUUGUGUUGGGGACCUGCGGCUGCCGCAGGCCCUGAAAACCAGUGGCGGGCUCGCUAGUCACUCCGAGCGUAGUAAUACAUCUCGCUCAGGGCGUGCUGCGGGUUCCGGCCGUUAAAAAGCCUUAUUUACCCAAGGUUGACCUCGGAUCAGGUAGGAAGACCCGCUGAACUUAAGCAUAUCAAUAAGCGGAGGA